GACCGUGCAAAGGUAGCAUAAUCAUUUGCUUCAUAAUUGGGGGCUAGUAUGAAUGGGAUAAUAAGAUGUUUGCUUUAUUUUUAGAAAAAGUAUAAUUUGCUUUUUUAGUGAAGAAGCUUAAAUUUUUCUAAAAGACAAGAAGACCCUUUUGAGUUUUAUUUUUUUUAUUUAUUUUUUAAGUUUUGAAAAUUUGGUUGGGGCGACCGAGGAAGAGUUGAUCUUCCUUAUUUUACUAAGAUCCAUAGGUUUUGAUUGAGGGAUUAAAUUACCAAAGGGAUAACAGCGUUAUUUUUUUUAAGAGUUCUUAUCGAAAACUAAGAUUGCGACCUCGAUGUUGACUUAUAGUUUCCUUUUGAU
rnacentral:rRNA from 1 species